GUUUCGGGGCGGAGUGAAAUUCUCCACCGGCGGUUAAAGUCCGCGAGCCUUACGGCUGAAUCGGUGAAAUUCCGAUACCGACGGUAUAGUCCGGAUGAAAGAAU
rnacentral:ncRNA from 1 species